GCUGCAUUAUAUGCAAUUCAGCAAUUAAAAAUUCUAAUUAGUGCAUGCGAUUUCAUAUUGCUUAACUUCGUAUAUUUAUUAGUUAGCAAAUGCACUUCAUAUCGUUUCUUAUCCGAUUACAGUCUAUGCAAAUAAUUACUCUGGUUUUCUAUUCUCUCAUUUGCUCCACUUGCGUAAUUACAGCAAUUUUACGCAAGUAUUUAUCUGCAAUAAGUAUUGUUUUUGUUCUACUAUUAUCUAAACAACUGUUUCUACCCCAACUGUUGGUCAUCAUUAGGCGCCAGCCGGUGCUGAUAUGCUCUUCUAGGUAGAAUAUAUUCAUAAGUACAUUUGUUAGUCGAUGAUUUGGUUUGCAUGCGUUUAGGUAAAUAUGCGGGCGAGUGCCGUUGCAAACAGCAAGCGAACGAGUGUCCGUUGAAAACUUUUCGAAACUAAUUAAAACGAUAAGAAGUUGAGGAAAAAAAUAAAUUAUGCUAAAAGGGAAGCGUUUACUACUUCCUUGGUCAGCGGUAAAAGUUUGGAAUAUUUUUUAAUUUCUGGGAGAUCUUAACUAUGUAAAUAUGUGUAUCAACGAGUUGUUGACCGAAUGAGGAGCACUGAAACUAGUUAUUAGAAACUUAGGGUGGAAAAUUGAGACAGAAGGCACAGCCGUAAGAAUCUUUCAGUCCUCAUAUAUGUAACUAUGAUAUAUCUAUAGCAAGUUCCUGCUAAAAAAUACUGAAUACGGAAAACAAGAAGAGCGAAAGUGGAUCUGAACAACGAUCGAGUGUCGGAAGGAAACUGGCUGUGAGUGGGAGAAAAAUGCAAUUCUUAGCGUAUCGUCAUUGAUCACUCGCCUUGUACUUGAAUCUAGUAGACGAUAUAGGUGGCAACUUUUUAAAUGCUUUAGAGAUUGAAUUGCAGACAUUACUUUCUAAAAGGGUUGAAAACAGAAACAAUGAAGCUGUCAAGCAACAAGAAACUGCGGUCAAUGGUUCGAAGUGUCACGUAAUAACACAAGGAAGGCGAAAACAUGAGAACGAAAUCCACAGAACGCUUAACUUGGAACCCGGACUGUCCCGGCCAAACCGGGACGAAUGGUCAAUUAAGUCAACCCGUAAAUAAGAUCUAGUAAUUGUCCUCGAGAGUUUCUGAGUAAAACAAAAACUGUCAACUCGGCACAACAUCAACUACAACAGAAACAAGCAGAUUUCAUGGCUUUCGGAAAGCUGUACCACUACAAGCCAGUUUUGCGAAAAGCCUCCAAAGCAUAAGUAAAUGUUACAUUUUGCCCAGACCUAGUCGGAACGUACUUGAAUAUAUGUCGGAUCCAGGGAUAUCACUCAAUAUUCGCGUAGAGAAAUCUUAUCCCUUAACUGCAUUGAAGACAUCAUUCCCAAAAUACAAGAUCUUCACAGCUCUCCUUCAUUGCAAUUUCUUACAAUGUCAGCUCGUCCUGAUAUAUAUAGAAUUCAUUCAAUACUGAUGUAGUCGACGGCAUUGGUGGAAUUAAUUACAGCACUAUCUUACUCUUAGCUAACGUAAAGUCUUAAUUGCCGCAGCCACCUUAAACUACUAAUAAAUUAAUUCUCUGAUCCCUUCAUUCCCUUCUUUGAGAUGUAUAACUAAAAUACUUAUAAAUAACAAAAUGAUUGUUAAAUUAAAAUUUGAAAAA